GACUUUGUGGCGCAACGGUAAUCGCCUCUGACUCCAGAUCAGAAGGUUACGUGUUCAAAUCACGUCGAGGUCA
rnacentral:tRNA from 1 species